ACACUGAAAGCUGCAGUCAGUUAAUAGUAAUGAAACUGCCAAUAAAGCUAAAUAGCAGCAUCCAUUCAAAAUUAAAUGCUCAAGAAAAUAGUCUGUUGUAUGUAUCAGCUGCAUAUUUAAUGGAGAAAGUUAUAGAGUUCAGGGGCUCAAGAGAGUCAAUCUGUGACAUAGUUAUUUUCCUGUGAUUUAGGUUUAGGUGAUUUCAAUUUCACAAAUGAAAAGGACAGCUGAUGCAUAUAACACAAAAUGCUGGCCAUAUACUAACUCAUACCAUGAUGCUAAGGUUAUGGGCCACUAGCAGAAACACCUACCUUCAGUUUUAUUUUAGUUUUAUGUUCUUUCAUUCUACUUUCAUUGAAUUGCUCUCUCUUCCUUAAUCUAAUUUUUAUCCACAUAUAUCCUGUUUUUAGGAGGGUUCUCAGAGACAUAUGCUGCCCUAUGUGAUUACAAUGGCCUCCCUUUCCAAAAGGAGAUCCAGUGGAACGUGGACAAUAUUUAUCACCACCAAGAAUGCAGGGAAUUCAACUUACUGGAUUUCAACCACCUGCCCAGCCAGUGAGUCUAUAAAGAGGGAAUAUAAGAUGUUGGGGGAACUUAUUAGGACAGAAUUGGGCGCGAAUACCCAGAAAUAUGCACAAUGGAGAAAGAUUCAGAGCUUUUGUAUCACUGAUGGUUCAGACAUAGCAUUUCCCCCACUUUGGCCUUCAUAUAAUUGGUUGUUUUUAUAUUUGACUUAUUUUAAUGAUUUAAUUUACUGUGAGCUAUAUGCAGUCAAAUUUUGGGGAGAGAAGGAGGAUGUGAAUACAACUAUGAUGAUGAUGAUGACGACGAUGACAAUGAUUAUGAUAAAAAGGUUCCAGGAAUUGAUUACGUAGCAAUGAUAAAAUCCCUUGAUCUGUAGACACAACAAAAGGAAAGGUGAAUAAAAAAAAGCAAUCUCAAAAGUGAAGUGUUGUGUAGUUUCUGGGCUACAUUUAUUUAUUUAUUAUUUAUUUACAGUAUUUAUAUUCCGCCCUUAUCACCCCGAAAAGGGACUCAGGGCGGAUUACAAUGAACACAUAUAUGGCAAACAUUCAAUGCCAACAGACAAACAACAUAUAUAGACAGACACAGAGGCAUUUAACAUUUUUUUCCAGCUUCACGAUUCCAGCCACCGGGGGAGCUGUUGCUUCACUCUCCAGUAGUGGCUGUACUUCCUCAUUCCAUUCCUCGUGUUUUGCUGGCAGUUUUAUGAUGUUGUAAAUUACAUGGCCAUGUUCUAGCAGCAUUUUCUCCUGACAUUUCACCUGCAUUUGUGGCUGCUCAAGAUCUGAGGGCCGGGCUUUACCGUGUUUCCCUGAAAAUAAGGCAGUGUCUUAUAUUAAUUUUUGCUCCCAAAGAUGCGCUAGGUCUUACUUUCAGGAAAUGUCUUAUUUUUCCAUGAAGAAGAAUUCACACUUAUUGUUGAACAAAAAAAAAUGAACAUUUAUUAUAUACUGUACAGUAGUUGUCAUCACAAACCAGCAUAACCAGACAAACUGUGAAUCCUAUCAAAAAUUUCUUGUUAUUACCAUUAUUUCCAUGUACAACACUCUAUGGUAUGUACAUUUACCAAUUCUGUUUGGUGGGCAUGGUUUCAAACAAAAACUUUGCUAGGUCUUACUUUCAGGGGAGGCCUUAUAUUUAGCAAUUCAACAAAACCUCUACUAGGUCUUAUUUUCCGGGGAUGUCUUAUUUUCAGGGAAACAGGGUAGCACAGCAGCUUAAACCACCAGCUGCAGUAAAUCUCGUCAAUCAAAAGCUUGACAGUUCAAAGCCCAGGUCAGGGUGAGCUCCUAGUCUUUAGCCCAACUUCUGCCUACCUCGUGCUUUGAAAGUAAAAUGCGAGUAGAUAAAUAGAUACUGCUUUAAAGCAGGUAGAUAUUUUAAGGCAUCCAUAAGGAAGGCCAGAAAAAUGCCUACAGUUCGAUUAAGGAGGACAUUUAUAAACAAAAGGUCUUUGGCAGGGAGAUGGAGCGACAGAACUGAGCACAAGUCUCCAAGAUGCCGAAGAUAGGAAAAGCCUAUACAUACUGCUAUCUAUGUACAAUUGUCUGUCUUGACAGUGUAUAAAUGGCAUUGAAUGUUUGCCGCAUAUCAUCAUCAUCAUCAUCAUCAUUUAAUUACAGUAGAGUCUCACUUAUCCAAGCCUCGCUUAUCCAAGCCUCUGGAUAAUCCAAGCAAUUUUUGUAGUCAAUGUUUUCAAUAUAUUAUGAUAUUUUGGUGCUAAAUUCGUAAAUACAGUAAUUACAACAUAACAUUACUGCGUAUUGAACUACUUUUUCUGUCAAAUUUGUUGUAUAACAUGAAGUUUUGGUGCUUAAUUUGUAAAAUCAUAACCUAAUUUGAUGUUUAAUAGACUUUUCCCUCCUUAUUAUCCAAGAUAUUCGCUUAUCCAAGCUUCUGCCGGCCCGUUUAGCUUGGAUAAGUGAGACUCUACUGUACUUAUUAAUUGCCCUCCAUCCAAGAUGCUCUAGGCGAUUUACAAGAUAAAAUUGUAAAGGAUAAAAAUACAUACAUACAAAUAUUGAUAAAAUUAACAUAGAUUAAAAGCUCUAGUAAAGAGCCAGGUCUUGAGUGCUAGGGUAAAAGGCAUAUGUAUAUUCUAUGAUCUGCCCUGAGUCCCCUUCGGGAUGAGAAGGGUAGAAUAUAAAUACAAUUAAUUAAUCAAUCAAUCAAUCAAUCAAUCAAUCAAUCAACCUUCCUUCUUUCCUUCAUGUCUUCUGUUCACGGAGCUUCUUUGUCAGAGGAUU
rnacentral:lncRNA from 1 species